CGCGGUUUCAUCGGUCUACGACAAUGUGUACUGUGACGUAUUAUAAAUCCGUCUAUAAAAAAAUUGGAUAGAAUAACAGACGUAAAAAUUCAAAGGUUAUAAUAAAUGGCAGCCAAUCGGAUCAUGAAAGUUCAUAUAUGUUUGAUGUAUUUUGUCUCAAUGAUUAAGGAAUAGAUGACACAAAUUUUUAUUUCUUUACAAGCAAUUACUUUUCAAGUUGUUCUAGUCGUUUUGCAGACAAAAACAACUUAUCCCACCAUCGUCAUGUUACGUAUUCACAUACGUUUCUCCCCAAAGAUACACCUUUUCAUAAAAAAAACGGAAUUUUGUUAAACAAUGAAAUGUUCUAAAUACUUAAAAAAAUUAAUAACAUCGAAAUAAUAAUAAGAAGAAAAAUACUUUAUGGAUUUAUUGCAAAAUAAACACGUCAGGAAUUUACGUUUGAGUCAGAAAGCGAAAUGAAAGACCAAAAGAAGAAACUAGGAUAGAGAUCGGGACAGUAUUUCUCACUCUGACAUUGUUUACUACACAAAUUGAUAGUCAUUGCACAUACAUAAAAUAAAUUUAAUUUUUCAAUUGGGACCAAUAAGGAGCCCACGAAUCAAUGACAAAGAUGAAAUUGGUAACAGUGUUGGAGCAGGUGAGGAGCCGCGAGGACGAGUAACGUAAUCUCUUGAGCAGGGACACUUUUGAAAUCUGGAAAUAUUCAGCGAAAAGACACAAAGGUAUAAGUUCUGAAAUAAAGUACAUUGAUAGAGAACGUUAAAAGAAUAUUACAAUACUAAAAAAAUGAACGUCUCCACGUAAAAACUGAUUUUACGCGAUAAUUAAUAUUAAUGCAAAAUAUGACGUCACAAGUCAUAACGUGUGCAAAAUAAUUUGCGAAUCAAGAGUAAAGAAUACCCAAAAUAUCUAUAAAACACUAUUCCUUAAUCUUUAAAAAUCAAAAAGAUAUGAAUUAGAGAAAAAGUAAUAAUAUACUCAAACAUAUUUGUCCUUGUAUAAGUUAAAAAUUAAUUUAUUUAUAGCGCCAUCUGUAUGAAAGAUAGAAUAUAAUACUUCAUACGAAAUAUGCUCAGUAAAAUCCGGACUAUUAGAUCCACAAACGAAAUUGCAAAAUAAAUUAUAAACAAAAUCAUUUGUUAUUAACAAAUACCAUGAAAAUUGCUUGGAAAAAUAUGGAAAAAUCAUCGAAUGAAGAUCUUUGGACUCUCAAUCAGAACAGCCAUGAAUUGUUCCUUAAUCUCUGUAAACACUGAAGCUGUGUAUUUUUAAAGAUCAACACACACACACUCAAACCUAUCUAUAUCUGUGUGCUGGUGAACUUUGAAAAUUGAUAGCGCCAUCUGUUACAGAGAUGGAAAGAAAAUCAUGAGACGAAAAAGACUCUAUAAAAUACGGACUAAAAGAUCCGCUAUUAAAAAUACUUAAUAAUCAGUAAAUAAUUACAAUUGUUAUAAACAAAAUAUAAUUGAAAAAUUCCGAAAAAUAUGGUUACAAUCAUAAAAUGAACUUUGCAAUAUCCAGAAUACGGAAUCAUUAGAAAUUUUCCUUAAUAUUCAUACACAAAAACGUUCUGAAUUAAAUAAAAAUACUCACACACACGCACACAUGUAAAAGCGUAUAUCCAUGUGAUCGAUUAAACUUUUCGGAUUUUUAGAAGCUUUCAUAUGGGAAAUAUCGAAAAAUGUUUAAGAUAAAAAGUUUAUUAUAAAUCAGGAACUUUAUGAGUAUGAAAGAAAACAUUCAAAAAGUUAAAAGACACUUUUAUUGUCUACUGACAUGUCAAUGAAAUCACGGUGGAAAAUUCAAGAAAAAUGUUAAAUAAUUCGAGUUUAGUAUACAUAAUGAAAAUAUGGAGGAAAAUAUCACAGAAAUGGAAAUAGAAAAAUGUCAAAUAUUAGGUCAUGAGACACUUUAAACAAUUAAUGCCUAAUAACGUAUAAACAAACAUACAUAUUCGAAAACAAAAAUCACCAAGCAUUAGUUUAUUGAAUUCACAAUAUAAACAGCUGUAAUUUGGAUUUUUUAAGGUUAUAAAUCAUGGCGUAAAUAACUAAUAGACACCUUUUCAAGGUCAAAUUUUUAAUUGUGAAUAUCUCCGAAAAUUGAAGAGAUAAAAAUCAGAAAUUUGGUACACAAGGAUGUUAAAUCGAGGUCUUUCAGAUACACUCGAGCACAUUCAUCUAAAUUGAUAAAUAACAUUGUUAUCAAUUAUCAAAAUAUUAUAAAAAUAGGUGAAACACGAUUUUUUGUUAUAAUCACAUUUCUAGUACUAAAAUAGGUUCAAAAAUGAAUUUUGUCAAAAAAGUUAAGAAACAAUGUUAAUAGACUAAAAUUUACAUUGACAGUACCAUAAGGACAUCACAAGGAAACGUUAAAGCCAUAAUGACAAACAAAUUUAAAUUUUGCUCAAAAGCAAUUAUUUUAUAAUGGAAAAUAGCAUUAAUAAUUUAAAAUUUCAAAUAAUGUUAAAAUUAAAGCUGAAAUAGAAUUUAAAAGAGCAUAGUGGGUCCCACAGUAUUAGCCAUAUGCCAUACACAGUACAUAGGGACACACUCAACGUGUGAUCCCCACUCUCAGCAACAAGUCUCCCACGCAACGCACUACGCCCACUCCUGCGCGCCAGAGACACUCCGUGUAUUACGUCUUUAUUCCACUCGAUGUACCUCUCGACGCUGGAGCAAACAGUCAGUUCAACGCCAACUCUUGAAAUCGCCGGUCAUACGCUCCGAAGAGCUCCGUGAAUUAAAUUCAAAAAAUUUGAAAACAAAUAUAUCGGAAGUGAAAAAUAAAGAACUGAACGUGUGUAAUCGAAGGAGCAUUCCACAGCCUGCCAGAACACGGUUGGACUUCUCCGACGGCCCAAAUUACCAUCAUCAUCUGAGCUUUCAGUACUGAUCCGGUGUACCUUCAUCGCACUAUUGCCAGACGAGUCAGGAAAAAGGAAUAAGGGAUAAUAAUGGACCCACCACAGAUUGGCAGCCUACACAAAAUUGGAACUAUGCAACAAACCGUAAGCAGAAUCCAAUCUGCAACGGAUGCUUUGAGAACUGCCUUGCGUCAGGAGUAUUUUUACUUUAACCGAAUAACCAAGAAACACUACUCGGACAGGAUGAUCCGAAUACUUCGUUACCAGAUGUUAAUACUGAAACUCCAGAUUGAGGAAUUACAACAACUAAUUGAGCAGGAAUUAAAACAUCCUGGAGAAUACCGAGGGGAAGACCUUUCAACCCGUAAAGACUAAUACUACACGAAGAUGAGUAAGAGUUGAUUGGAAGGGGAAGACCUUCAACAAUAUGGAGAUCAUGGAUAUCGCUCCUCUCAUUUUUUUUUCUUUAUCUCAAUUUUUAGAAUAUAACCGUAUGUUAAUACUUAUUAUGAAGAAUCGACUAUUGAAUCUUGACAAUAUUCAAUCCACAAUAUAUUUACCUUGCUUUAGCUAUGAUACAGCAUAGCACUGACUUGAAACCGCCCGUGGUUUUCACAAGUUUUCAUUUUGAUUAUUAUUCUUUAUUAAUCAUCCUUUUUCUCGUUUUUUUUUUCUAUCUUCUCAUUAUUAUAAAUGCCCCGCAUGGCUAAUCAUAAUGCUAAACUGCCGGAAUAUGUGCCAUGCUUUAAGAGCUAAUUAUAAUUUUUGUUUUUUUUACCUUACCAUUGUGAGAAUGAUACCAAAUGUAAGAUUAUAUAAAUUAUAUGGUUUAACCAUCAUAAUCAUGACAUAUUCAUUUUCGAUCGAGCUAAUUAUCCCUACAAUCAUUCUAUAUCUAAAAUCCUAUCCCUAAUCACUCCCACCUCAUUAAGUUGCACAAUCAGAUCUGCUUAAAACUAAUGGGCAGAUGGAGAUUCGAGGAUUGGAGAUGCGGAUGUUAUAAGUAUCCUAUGUUUCUGCACUUAUCAUGAUAUUUCUUUACGUAGAACAUAUAAAUCCCUACCACUGCUAAGGUUACACCGCUAUGUUUUGGCUGAUUUUCGCAAAUAUGGCACGUGAUGUGAUAUUAGCAAAUUUACAUAUCUAAGCAAUAAUUAAGUUUGGUAGAAUAGCACACAGAGAUACAGGGGAAACCGUAAUGCGCUUCGGAAUGCAACUAGAUAUCGAGAAUUCUGUCUCAUAGAACACGAUUUAAUCAGGGAAAUUAUUGGAUCGAAAAUGAGACUCACUUAUAUGAAAUAUCGCAUUACAUUACAGAAAAUGGAACCGGGCAAAACGAAAGUCUCUCAUAUAAGAAUAUGGAGGAAUCCGCAUAAAGAAAUAGUAGAAGCGAGAAUGAGGAAACAACGGGUUCUUAUUAUCGCGAGACAGUUACAAAGGAAGGUCAUCAAGAUGAGGGGUCUGAUACAGACCUUUGGAAAAUAUUGCGAGAACAAAAUCAAAGAAAUCGAGAGCGUAGAAAGCCACGAAGAGCUCGAAGAAGUAUCAGAAACUGAUUCCUAUAUGAGCCCUGACGACUAAGCUUUGUUUGACUAGAUGUUUACGGAGUUAGAUGGGAGAAACUUGCAUCCUGAACAAGCAGCUUUACGUGAAUGAAAUGAAUACAUAAUCACGUAAUAAAUUCCACAUUCUAUCAUGUGAAUGGAGUUACUCUAAAGGCGGGUCAUUUAUCAAUUUAGAGUUCUCAAUCAUUAUUGUCUUCAGCAGACGUACGAAACAAAAAUAUUGUCCUACUUGCGAAUUGCCGAUUUUAAUAAACCUCUUUAUAAGAAUUCAUCUCACAGUAAUGUUAUGACUAGAUAAGAAUCUAUUCCAUAAGAGUAUUAUAUAAAAUUACUACUAUAAAUCAAUAAUUGUAAAUACGAACGAGAACUACAUGAGAAUGAGAAACAAUUGAGUCCUUUCAACAAAUAUAUAUAGGUCACAUUCCCAAAUAUAAUCGAACUCUCCGGGGUGUUAUCCGGUCGGUCGAGGUUUGUGUCUUGAUGAUCUCCAACCCAGACAACGGAAGCAGUACUAGCACUAUAACAAUCUUCGCUUCUUCUUACAUAUCUUCUCAUCAACCAACAAUCGCAAUUGGCUUCCUUCUUAAACUGGGAAAUUUUCAAAAAUCGAAUAUUUAUCAUCAUGUGUGCUGUUAUUUGUGCAUAAAAAUAUGUAAAUCCACACAUCUGAAAAUUCUCAUCAGGGGAUUACAAGAAAACAGUAUCACUCAGCCCCAUGGACUCCAGGAGCUGGCCGUACCAAAAUAAGAAGCACAAGGAAUUUCACCACAGACGUGAUGAGAUAGAAACUUCUCAUGCUAAAGAAAGUAUGACGUAUUCUGAAUCGAGAUCAAUGGCUACCCAAACGACACAGAAGGCUCCACAAGCUGGAAAUUUUCAAACACUGCCAAAUUUCUCAGUUUUUCACCAACUCCUUCGGAUGAAGCAGUUAUCGAAGGAGCUAGACGAAAUUGCAGAAAGACAACAAUGGAUACAGCAGCAGAUAGAAGAUAUUUGCGCCACCUUGCUAGACGAAUAACAACUCCUCAAUGAGCAAAACCAGGCACGUAGAUCACAGACAUUGAUUUCGAUCCGACCGCGACACCUUGGGAGGGUGAACAGAUUUUUAGAAAACAGAAAAAAAAAAAAAAAAUUAAUUAAAAUUAAAUUAAAAACAAAAAGAACAAAACAAAAUAUGAUAAUCAAAUAACGAUAGUAGUUAAUUUUAUUCACUAUUUUUAUAUAACAACAUCAAGAAAUAAUGUUAACCUUAUAACUAAUUUUUUAUCAUUAGCAAUAACGCAUAUAUACGAAAUACAGGCUAUACGCAAAUAUGACAAUGACGGAGUGAUGGCAUACUACCCAAUCACCCCAAUAAAAUAAGGAAUAAUAAUAACUAUCAAUAAUUACAAUAAGCCAAAUGAAGUCAUACAAAAGUUGAAGGAAAAUAUUCCUCUAUAUAGCAAUUCAAGGUAGCUCAUCACUAGAAAUAAUGUCCAAUUAAUGAACUAAUGUAAUUAAUUACUGUAGCAAGUAUUUGUAGCCUGAGAACAAUGUAAUUACGAUUGUUUGUACUUAGCUUUAAGUGAUUUUGGUAUAGGUAAAAGAAAAAAAAAAGACAAGGGUAUUAAUAGAAGUUCCUAUUUUUAUGACUAUUCUAUAUUAGACACUUUUAUAACUACCUUGAAAAUAUAUUGCAAAGAGGUUUGGAACCUAUACGCUGAAGGUCAGCGUAUCAGAGGAUCCUCUUGGUGAAUACUGAAAAUUUUAAUCAGUUUACUUUGCUUUUGUUUGACUUCGUUAGAUUACAUAGUGUGAGGUGUAGUAAAAAUAUUUUGCUAACAUGAGCAUGCGUUGUCACUAUGGCUACUUAAAUGUCUAUAGAUAAAAUUGAUAUUUGGGGAAAACCACAUCAAGAAAGAAAUCGGUUGAAGGUUCAAAGCAUUAAGAGUAGAGGCUGGAAAUUGUAGUCCGAAUCUACUGAAGUACAAAAAAAAAAAAAAAAAAAAAAAAAAAAAAACCAUAAGUUACUAUAUUUUAAGUUGUUUUUGUCGUUUUGCAGACAAAAACAACUUUUCCCACCAUCGUCAUGUGACGUAUUAUAAAUCCGUCUAUAAAAAAAUUGGAUAGAAUAACAGACGUAAAAAUUCAAAGGUUAUAAUAAAUGGCAGCCAAUCGGAUCAUGAAAGUUCAUAUAUGUUUGAUGUAUUUUGUCUCAAUGAUUAAGGAAUAGAUGACACAAAUUUUUAUUUCUUUACAAGCAAUUACUUUUCAAGUUGUUCUAGUCGUUUUGCAGACAAAAACAACUUAUCCCACCAUCGUCAUGUUACGUAUUCACAUACGUUUCUCCCCAAAGAUACACCUUUUCAUAAAAAAAACGGAAUUUUGUUAAAUAAUGAAAUGUUCUAAAUACUUAAAAAAAUUAAUAACAUCGAAAUAAUAAUAAGAAGAAAAAUACUUUAUGGAUUUAUUGCAAAAUAAACACGUCAGGAAUUUACGUUUGAGUCAGAAAGCGAAAUGAAAGACCAAAAGAAGAAACUAGGAUAGAGAUCGGGACAGUAUUUCUCACUCUGACAUUGUUUACUACACAAAUUGAUAGUCAUUGCACAUACAUAAAAUAAAUUUAAUUUUUCAAUUGGGACCAAUAAGGAGCCCACGAAUCAAUGACAAAGAUGAAAUUGGUAACAGUGUUGGAGCAGGUGAGGAGCCGCGAGGACGAGUAACGUAAUCUCUUGAGCAGGGACACUUUUGAAAUCUGGAAAUAUUCAGCGAAAAGACACAAAGGUAUAAGUUCUGAAAUAAAGUACAUUGAUAGAGAACGUUAAAAGAAUAUUACAAUACUAAAAAAAUGAACGUCUCCACGUAAAAACUGAUUUUACGCGAUAAUUAAUAUUAAUGCAAAAUAUGACGUCACAAGUCAUAACGUGUGCAAAAUAAUUUGCGAAUCAAGAGUAAAGAAUACCCAAAAUAUCUAUAAAACACUAUUCCUUAAUCUUUAAAAAUCAAAAAGAUAUGAAUUAGAGAAAAAGUAAUAAUAUACUCAAACAUAUUUGUCCUUGUAUAAGUUAAAAAUUAAUUUAUUUAUAGCGCCAUCUGUAUGAAAGAUAGAAUAUAAUACUUCAUACGAAAUAUGCUCAGUAAAAUCCGGACUAUUAGAUCCACAAACGAAAUUGCAAAAUAAAUUAUAAACAAAAUCAUUUGUUAUUAACAAAUACCAUGAAAAUUGCUUGGAAAAAUAUGGAAAAAUCAUCGAAUGAAGAUCUUUGGACUCUCAAUCAGAACAGCCAUGAAUUGUUCCUUAAUCUCUGUAAACACUGAAGCUGUGUAUUUUUAAAGAUCAACACACACACACUCAAACCUAUCUAUAUCUGUGUGCUGGUGAACUUUGAAAAUUGAUAGCGCCAUCUGUUACAGAGAUGGAAAGAAAAUCAUGAGACGAAAAAGACUCUAUAAAAUACGGACUAAAAGAUCCGCUAUUAAAAAUACUUAAUAAUCAGUAAAUAAUUACAAUUGUUAUAAACAAAAUAUAAUUGAAAAAUUCCGAAAAAUAUGGUUACAAUCAUAAAAUGAACUUUGCAAUAUCCAGAAUACGGAAUCAUUAGAAAUUUUCCUUAAUAUUCAUACACAAAAACGUUCUGAAUUAAAUAAAAAUACUCACACACACGCACACAUGUAAAAGCGUAUAUCCAUGUGAUCGAUUAAACUUUUCGGAUUUUUAGAAGCUUUCAUAUGGGAAAUAUCGAAAAAUGUUUAAGAUAAAAAGUUUAUUAUAAAUCAGGAACUUUAUGAGUAUGAAAGAAAACAUUCAAAAAGUUAAAAGACACUUUUAUUGUCUACUGACAUGUCAAUGAAAUCACGGUGGAAAAUUCAAGAAAAAUGUUAAAUAAUUCGAGUUUAGUAUACAUAAUGAAAAUAUGGAGGAAAAUAUCACAGAAAUGGAAAUAGAAAAAUGUCAAAUAUUAGGUCAUGAGACACUUUAAACAAUUAAUGCCUAAUAACGUAUAAACAAACAUACAUAUUCGAAAACAAAAAUCACCAAGCAUUAGUUUAUUGAAUUCACAAUAUAAACAGCUGUAAUUUGGAUUUUUUAAGGUUAUAAAUCAUGGCGUAAAUAACUAAUAGACACCUUUUCAAGGUCAAAUUUUUAAUUGUGAAUAUCUCCGAAAAUUGAAGAGAUAAAAAUCAGAAAUUUGGUACACAAGGAUGUUAAAUCGAGGUCUUUCAGAUACACUCGAGCACAUUCAUCUAAAUUGAUAAAUAACAUUGUUAUCAAUUAUCAAAAUAUUAUAAAAAUAGGUGAAACACGAUUUUUUGUUAUAAUCACAUUUCUAGUACUAAAAUAGGUUCAAAAAUGAAUUUUGUCAAAAAAGUUAAGAAACAAUGUUAAUAGACUAAAAUUUACAUUGACAGUACCAUAAGGACAUCACAAGGAAACGUUAAAGCCAUAAUGACAAACAAAUUUAAAUUUUGCUCAAAAGCAAUUAUUUUAUAAUGGAAAAUAGCAUUAAUAAUUUAAAAUUUCAAAUAAUGUUAAAAUUAAAGCUGAAAUAGAAUUUAAAAGAGCAUAGUGGGUCCCACAGUAUUAGCCAUAUGCCAUACACAGUACAUAGGGACACACUCAACGUGUGAUCCCCACUCUCAGCAACAAGUCUCCCACGCAACGCACUACGCCCACUCCUGCGCGCCAGAGACACUCCGUGUAUUACGUCUUUAUUCCACUCGAUGUACCUCUCGACGCUGGAGCAAACAGUCAGUUCAACGCCAACUCUUGAAAUCGCCGGUCAUACGCUCCGAAGAGCUCCGUGAAUUAAAUUCAAAGUAACCAGUUCGGACUUGGAAUAAUUUGUGAAUUGUGGACUUAUAAAUUUCUCGCGUUCUGUCCUCUUGGACAUAAAAAUGUUUUAAAAUAUUUCUUUACGAUUCUAUCUUAGGCCGGUGAACAUUUAAUAACUUAGAAAUUCUACUCUAUUCGACAAUUGACUUCGAAAAUAAAUUUUUCAUUUUAAUAUAAUUUUCAUCGUGAAAAUUUCCAGUCCACAAUUCCAGAUUUAAAUAAAUAAUUUUCGUUUAAACCGAUAAUUCCGGUCCGAUUUUGACGGUGCAUUGUACUGACUGCGCGCUCCAUUUUAUUCUUUUUGAAAUUUAAAUAAAUAUUAAAUUAGAUUUUUCGGUCGUUCUGUAAAUCACAACAUUUGGUGUCUUCUCAAAAAUAAUACACAUCCUAUUCCAUCCUAUCAACCCCGUUGGUUUACUGAUAAAUUCAGCAAACUUGCGGCUGAUAAAAGUUGACUAUGGAGAACUGUGGCUGACUGGCUAGGUUAGCGUCAGGAUUAUCUGAUGUGAUCCUGGUGAGGCAAGUCGCGUUCUUCUAGGUUAACUAUCAACCCCGCUGGUUUUUGAGGACUACUAACUGGCCCUUUUGGGACGGUCUGUUGAUUUUGGAAACCUGCGGUUGAUAUCCGUCAACCCCGCUUUCUCGUGGAUCAAUUAAUCGUCCCUUACGGAUGAUUCUUUGGACCUGAGAUUAUGCGGUUGACAUUUCUUCCUAAUUUUUGGUUUGUUCCCUAUAUAGAUUCCUAUAAAUUAUUUUACCCAUUCCUCAUCCGAAUAAAAUCCUAUUUUUUACCGAAUACAUCGCUCGGGUAUUUUACAAUGCACUCGACGUCAAAAUCUUAAAACAAGUAAUAAAUAAAUAAAUAAAUUUACGUGAAUAAU